CCUACGGGGGGCAGCAGUGGGGGAUAUUGCACAAUGGGGGGAACCCUGAUGCAGCGACGCCGCGUGGGUGAAGAAGCGCCUCGGCGCGUAAAGCCCUGUCAGCAGGGAAGAAAAUGACGGUACCUGAAGAAGAAGCCCCGGCUAACUACGUUCCAGCAGCCGCGGUAAUACGUAGGGGGCAAGCGUUAUUCGGAUUUACUGGGGGUAAAGGGUGUGUAAGUGGUUUGACAAGUUGGUAGAGUAACUCCGAGGCCUAACCUCGGCACUACUACCAAAACUGUUGGACUCGAGUGCAGGAGGGGCAAAUGGAAUUCCUAGUGUAGCGGUGGAAUGCGUAGAUAUUAGGAGGAACACCAGUGGCGAAGGCGAUUUGCUGGACUGUAACUGACACUGAGGCACGAAAGCGUGGGGAGCAAACAGGAUUAGAUACCCCAGUAGUC
rnacentral:rRNA from 1 species